CUAAGAGGAACAUCUGCCAAGAACGCCACGUCGUGUGGCAGGGCAGAUGUGACAAACAUCGUGUUUG
rfam:Caryophanon tenue strain DSM 14152 DSM_14152_R1_001_contig_24, whole genome shotgun sequence.